AGAAUCAACGCUGGCGGCGUGCCUAACACAUGCAAGUCGCACGAGAAAGUGGAGCAAUCCACGAGUAAAGUGGCGCACGGGUGAGUAACACGUGAAUAAUCUACCUCCGAGUGGGGAAUAACUGAGAGAAAUCUUAGCUAAUACCGCAUAAUACCCACGGGUCAAAGCAGCAAUGCGCUUGGAGAGGAGUUCGCGGCCGACUAGCUAGUUGGCGGGGUAAUGGCCCACCAAGGCGAUGAUCGGUA
rnacentral:rRNA from 1 species